UACGUAGGGUGCGAGCGUUGUCCGGAAUUAUUGGGCGUAAAGAGCUCGUAGGCGGUGUGUCACGUCGGCCGUGAAAACCUGCAGCUUAACUGUGGGCGUGCGGUCGAUACGGGGCAUCACUGGAGUUCGGCAGGGGAGACUGGAAUUCCUGGUGUAGCAGUGAAAUGCGUAGAUAUCAGGAGGAACACCGAUGGCGAAGGCAGGUCUCUGGGCUGAAACUGACGCUCAUGCACGAAAGCGUGGGGAGCAAACAGG
rnacentral:rRNA from 1 species